ensembl:lncRNA novel transcript
AGUGGGACUCUGUGUGGGGGCUCCAACCCCACAUUUCCCCUCCACACUGCCCUGGUAGAGAUUCUCCAUGAGGGUUCCACUCGUGCAGCAGGCUUCUGCGUGGACAUCCAGACUUUUCCAUGAAUCUUCCUAAAUCUAGGUGAAGGUUUCCAAGCUUCAACUCUUGCACUUUGCACUGCAAUGGUAGUGCAGGUCCACUGAACCAUCAAAGACCAGUUGCAGAAGGUAGAAGUUAUAAUCAAGAUCAUCAGAACUGGCAUCUGGUGAGAUCUCUCUCCUUGGGUUGUAAGUGACCACCUUCUCUAUGUCCUUCCAUGGACUUUCCUCUGUGCUUUUGUGGCUGGAGUGCAAUGGUGUGAUCUCGGCUCACUGCAACCUUUGGAAUAAUGUUCAUGAGCCCAAAGACAAGACAACCUUUGGAAUAAUGUCCAUGAGCCCAAAGACAAAAUUCCCAGCUUAAUAAAUGGCCCAACAGCAUCAGAAUUAGAAGAUUUAGAAGUAACUAGAAUUCUUCCUAGCUCCACUGGAAAGGAUGAACAUGGGGGCUCCCGCAAGAUAAGUACAGGGCCAGUGGACAGUGACUGGUCUAGUGAGAAUAGAAUCCCAAAGAUCCUGGGAAAUAAAAUUACACAACAAGCUUCCAGGAAACAAGUGGAACAAACGAGGCAACCUCGCAGAUACUACCAGGAAUGGAUAAGCAGAAGAGGGUCAGAGCCACAAAAUCUAAACAAAAGACACCAAACCACAAGAAGCACCCAGCCCUGUGAACACCAGCUGUGGCUACAUCUGUACCAAUCUUUUCAGACAGCUGCCGUGGGACUGCUGAGAGCAGCCACACACCAAACAGCAGUGCAUCUGAACACAAGUCCCAAGACACUCCUCUCUAUUAAUCCUCAUUUUGAGAAGAUGGAUAUGGUUAUGUUACAACAUCCCCAUACAACACUUGUGGGCGAGGGUAAUCAGACACCCUCACCUAAAGAGGGCACAGGAAGGAGGAGGAUGAAAACAGAGGGCUAGGGAAGGGAUGUGUGCUCUGGAUCACAUAGACUUUCCCCACAGGCACUAUUUAAAACAAAAGAAGAGCCCUAGAAA